GUAACAUGCUCAGAAUCAUAAAUGGUUGAGCCCUGAUCAGAACCCAGGAACUGGUGACAGUGAAGGAUGAGGAAAUGGAUUUUGCCCAUGUGGAGGUGGACCAGCUGAAUUCUGCCCAGAGGAACAUGGGCCUGGAUCUGAAGGUGGAGAGUUGUGGAAGCCUGGUAUUUUGGGGUGACCUGCAUCCCAGAAUGUUUCCCUGCUCUCUGCUUGCCUUAUUCCUGAGUGCCCUGCCCAUCACCAACACCACGGAGUUAGAGAAUCCAAACAAAAAGAUGGGAACCCCAAGGUUGGAGCAACCAGGGGACGUGAUCAUUGGAG
rnacentral:lncRNA from 1 species